rnacentral:tRNA from 1 species
GGGCUCGUGGUCUAGCCCGGCUAUGACACUCCCCUGACUCGGGAGAGAUCCCCAGUUCGAAUCUGGGCGGGCCCA